AGUUCGCAUCCGACGCAGUUCAUCACUCUAGUGCGCACGCACCUCCUGAAUGCUGCACGGACGCACUGCGCUGCUGCGGGCUACUGCUGGAUACUAGUUUGUCGCAGACCGGUCCCACUUUCGGUGUUUGCGUUUCUAAAGGACGAGCGGGAGCGAGCGAUCUCAGCAGACAUGGGAGCCACGGCAUCCGCACAGCGGGACCCGAAGAGUCCGGAGCACGAGCCGGCCCUGGAACAGGAGGCCAACGAUCAUCGCGUGGAAGAAAACCUGGACGACAAGGUGCUGCAGAAGAAUGGCCAGAUCUCCAUCUCCAGCCUCAGCAGAAAGUCUGAUGACAUCAACAGCCACUCAGAGGAGAACACACUCGCUGAGGUGGGCCAGACGGAUGGCGUGUCUGAGAAGGACGACGCUCCAGAGGCGGUGGUGGCGGCGGACGAGGCGGCGCCUCAGCUGAACGGGACCGAGACCGACAUCGUCAUGGAGACCGAGGAGAAGAAAUCCGCCGACGCCGACGUCGUCGUGGCGACCGAGGACACGCCCGCCGAGAGCAGCGAGGUCGGCUUCAAGAAGAUCUUCCGCUUCGUGGGCUUCAAGUUCACGCUGAAGAAGGACAAGAGCGACAAGGAGGCGGAGCCUGUGCAGCUGCUGACGGUGGAGAAGAAGGAGGAGCCAAAGACCGGCGACGCCGAGGGAGGAGCCAAAGACCAGCCCGCCGCCGAGGAAACCACGGAAACCACGGAAACCACGGAAACCACGGAAACCGAAGACAAGGCGGCGGCAGCAGCUGAUCCCGCGGCAGAGAGCGCGCUCGAGCCCGAGACUCCCGCCGCCGCAGACGCCGUAGACGCCGAGCCACCAGCGGAGGGCGCCACCACCACCACCGGGGAGCAGGACGAGUCCGAGACGCCCGUCGCCGUGGAGACGCCGGCCGAGUCUGCCGCCGCCAGCCCCCCCCCCGCACAGGAGACGCAGUCGCCCUUCAAGAGGUUCUUCACUCAGGGCAUCUUCUCCAACCUGAGGAAGAAGACCAGCUUCAAGAAGGCCAAAGAGGAGGAGCCGGCGAAGGAGGCGCCUGCCGAGGAGAUCAAAGAGGCCGACGAGGCCGUGACGGAGGAGAAGGCUGAUGAGGAGGUGACGGAGGUGACGGAGGUGACGCAGGAGGAGGCGGCAGAUGAGGGGGUGGCAGCGGAGGCUCCAGCUGAAGCAGGAAAGGUCACAGAAGAACCGGAAGGAUCUGCCGAGACUCUCGCUGAACCGCCCGCAGAAGAAGAACUCGCCAAGGAGGAACCCAAGGAGGAACCCGUCUCAGAGGCAGCUGCCGCUCCCGCCGAGGAGCCGAAAGAGCAGGAGCAGGACACCGCAGAGGUCGCCGCAGAGGUCGCUGAAGAGGUCGCUGAAGAGGUCACUGUGGAGGUCGCCGCAGAGGUCGUUGUAGAGGUCGCUGAGCCAGCUGAUGCAUCUGAGGCUGAGAAGACCACACCCACCACCGGGGAGGAGCCAAGCACUGAGGCCACGCCUCCUGCUGAGGUCGCCACGGAGACGGAGCUCGUCUCGUCCCAGGAGAAGGUGAAAGGUCAAGGAAGCCCCCUGAAGAAGCUCUUCACCGGCGCCGGUCUGAAGAAGCUGUCCUCCAAAAAGCCAAAGCCGAAGAAAGAAACCAAACUGACGGAAUCGGGCGAGCAUUCCGCCGAGCAGCUGCAGAGCUCCACCGAGUCCGCCGAGUCCGCAGAGACCCCGAAGCCCGACAGCGGCCCCUCCUCCCCCGAGGAGUCUGGUGAACACGUCGCCAGCGAGGCCGCUCCCAACGAGGCCAGCCAGGAGGCCGAGGCCUCCACGUCUGACGGCGAGAGGAAGAAGGAGAGCAUCUUGUCGUCCUUUAAGAAGCUGGUGACGCCAAAGAAGAGAGUCAAGAGGUCCUCCGAGAGCGAGGACGAGGCGCCCGCCGGCGACAAACCCAAAUCCGCCACUCUGUCCUCCGCAGACGCCGCCGUCGCCAACUCCGCCGAGAAAGCCGAGGAACCGAAAUCCACUGAGCCGGAGGCGGAACCCUCAGCAGAACCUAAAGCUGAAGAAGAGAGCGCCGAAGCAGCAGCAGCACCGAGCACUGAGGAGAACGCAGAGCCGGCCGCUGAGCCUAAAGUUGAGGACGCUAAAGAGGAGCCUACAGAGGAACCGAAGGCGGAACCCAAAGCUGAGAAGCUGGAGUCGUCCACGGAGGAGCCGAAGAAGAAGAUGGACACCUCCAUGUCCUGGGAGGCGCUGAUCUGCGUCGGCUCGGCCAAGAAGAGGGCCCGCAAAACCUCCGACUCCGAGGACGAGGACGCCAAACUGGAGGAGGAAGUUCUGCUCUCGGGAGAGGAAGCAGCCAGGACCGCCGAAUCCCCUCUGGGCACCUCCCAGGAGGCCGACCACGAGAACCUGGCGUCGUCGCCGGAGCCCGAGGGCGAGCUGGUGUCCACGUGGGAGUCCUUCAAGCGGCUCGUCACCUCCAGGAAGAAGAGAUCCGACGAGGACGCGUCCGGCACGACGGAGCAGACGCUCUCCGACGGCGAGAUGCCCAAAGAGGAGUCCUCGUUCUCGCUCAAGAAGCUCAUCCCGCGCCGGAAGAAGAAGGCGGACGAUAAGCAGGGGCCCGUGUCCUCGGACGUGGGGUCGGCGGAGGAGGACUCGGACACGCCCGCCGUCGUGCCGCUCUCCGAGUACGACAACGAGCCCGCCGAGCCGACGACGACCGCGGCGACGGAAGACGCCAAACCUGCAGAGUCACCGCUGGAGCUGGCGGCCAACGCAGCAGCGGCCUCGUCGUCGUUGGUGACGGUGAAAGCAUCUGCUGCCGAGGACCGCGCGCCCUCCUGGAUCUCGGCCGUGGUGGAGGAGGACCUGAAGGAGGACCCGGAGGAGGACGCCAAGCAGUUGAGCGACAUUCCAGAGGAAGGCGACACGGCCGGCACGCCCAAGUCCACGGACAACACCAUCGCCGACGACAUCGUGGAGCUCACCUCUGACGCCGCGACGGCACUGGAGCUGCCGCCCGAGCCCUCCGCCGCCGAGGAAACCCGCAUCUCCGCGUCCCCCGUCACCUCUGGCCAGGCCACGCCUGUGGUGGAGGAGGCCGUCACCAUGGUGACUAUCGCCGAGGGCCAGCAAGAGGUUGCCACAGUGACCACGGACUCCCAGGAGGCGGCGGAGGCUGCGCUGCAGGAGGCCACCAACAUCUGCACCGGCCUGGACGCCGAGAGCCUGGAGGCUGCGGAGGUAGCGAUGCCCUCGGCCGCCGUGGAGGGGGUGAGCGCCGUCGCCGAGGUCGUCGCCACGGAGGUUGCCAUGGAGGACACGGCCGAGACGCAUCCAGAGGAGGCGGACGUGACCGAGGUCAAAGUGCACGAGGCCGAGGUGCAGGAGGUGCAGACGGAGGAGGCUCCCGCGCCGCUGGAGAACGCUGUGGAGGAGGCGCCCCAGACAGAGGAGGUCGUGGAGGUCGUCGCCCUGGAGACAGAGCUGGCCGACACGAUCCAGGAGCCGGCGGCGGUGAAGGUGGGCGUGGUCAGCGCUGCGCUGGCAGAGGCGGAGCUUCUGGAGGAGCCGCUGGUGGAGGAGAGGACCCCGCCGAUGGAGCCCGAGGGCCCCGCAGAGGCGUCCGUGGAGGAGCCCGUCUGCGCCCGGCCCACGGAGGUCACGGAGGUCGCGGUGGCGAGGGACGAGCAGGUGACGCGGCUGCAGGACGCAGACGAGGCCGCGGCGGGGGCGGAGCUAGAGCUAGCGCCCGCCCAGCAGGUGGCGGAGGCCGUAACCCAGGAAGUGAUCACGGCGCUGGCCGACGCACCUGUGGCGGAGGUGUCCGAGGGGACGGAGGCGCCGAUCGCCGUCGUGGCGGCGCUCGAAGAAUUCGCCGUUGCCAAGGAAACAGUGUGCGUCAUCGGUUCUCCGUCUGACAGCCUGACCUCAGAGAUCAAAGAUGAGGUCGUCGUCAUGGAGAACGUAGCCAUUGCGGAACCCACAGGGGACGAGGCGAUUCAAGUGCAGGUGGAGGAUGUGGCCGCCGCCACGGCGACGGCCGUUCCUGCGGUCGAGGCCACCGUGGAGGCCGUGAGCUCCGCAGACGGCGUGGUGGUGGAGGAGGAGGUGUGUGAGGAGGUGCAGGGCGCUCCGGAGCCCGCGCACGCACACCAGACGGAGGUGGAGGUCAUCGAGGAGCAGAGCUCCGUCAUCGUGCAGACCAUCAUCCAGAACGUCAUGGAGAACAUCUGUGACAUGUCCAAGGACGCAGACAGUGAGGACACCGCAGAGACGGUUACCGUUACUGAGUCUACUGUAGUCACGGAAACAACAGCUGCGGAGUCUGCUGUAGUCACGGAAACAGCCCCAGAGACAACAACCACAGAAGAGGACGUAGAAAAGACACCAAAAGUCAUCGUCCAGGCCGUUCAGAUCACCGAGGUGCUGCCGGUGUCCCUCGCCGUCAACAUCGCGCCCGUGCAGCAGGAGGUGGCCGUCAUGUCUGUGGACGGCAUCGAGCUGAGCAUGGAGGCUCCUCAGAAGGAGCAGGAGCCCGCGGAGCAACUCAGAGGCAGUGAAGAGGAACACAAGGCAGAGGAAGAGGAGAAGGUAGAUGAAGAGGAGAAGGCAGAGGAAGAGGAGAAAGCAGAGGAAGAGCAGAAGGCAGAGGAAGAGGAGAAGGCAGAGGAAGAGCAGAAGGCAGAGGAAGAGGAGAAGGCAGAGGAAGAGGAGAAGGCAGAGGAAGAGGAGAAGGCAGAGGAAGAGGAGAAGGCAGAUGAAGAGGAGAAGGCAGAGGAAGAGGAGAAGGCAGAGGAGGAGGGAAUCGCUGAUGAAGAGGAGAAGCAGACAGAUGGACACAGUGAAGUGCAGACAGAGCCUGAGCAAGUGACACGAGACGCAUCUGCCACAGCAGAAAGCCAGGAGGCCCCCGUAGAACAGGAACCUAGCUCAGCAGAACCCACCACCGUAGAACAGGAACCCAGCUCAGCAGAACGAACCGAGGAACCCAGCUCAGUAGAACCCACCGAGGAACCCAGCUCAGCAGAACCCACCAUCGUAGAACAGGAACCCAGCUCAGCAGAACCCACCGAGGCUGCCCCUGAGGUUUCCACGGCAGCUGAUAGUCAGGAAGAGGUUUCCACGGCAGCCCCUGAGGGUCCCCUGGAGACAGACGCCACGGCAACUACCGGGGUCUCGACCGCCUCCGCCCCCGAUGCAGACAGCCAAUCACAGACCCCGGCCGCAGACAGCCAAUCACAGACCCCGGCUGCAGUGCUGAGCGAGCCCACGCCGGACCAGACGGUGAAGGCGCAGGAAGUGAUGACGGUGAAGGCGCAGGAAGUGAUGGAGCACGUGCUGGAGGAAGUGGUGCGGGACAUAGAGCCCGUCUCCACGGAGAUCGCUACAGUGUCAUGAGCAGCCAACAGGUGGCGCUCAUGAGCUGAUCCCCAGAGGACCUUCUUCUCCAGCAGAGGGCGCUAUAGACCACAACACUCCCCUUCUUCUGCCGCAGAGGGCGCUAUAGACCUCAACAUUUCCCUUCUUCUCCAGCAGAGGGAGCUAUAGACCUCAACAUUUCCCUUCUUCUCCAGCAGAGGGCGCUCAGCCACAACACUCCCCAGCACAGACUGACCACAUCACACACACUCCACGUGCGUCCCAGACUGAACACACACUCCUACAGCUCCAUGUCGUCCCUGUUCAACGUGGAGGUUUAGCGCCCAGAAGAAAAUGCUCCUCAGACGAACCCCAACCCCCCCACCCCCAUCCCCCAAGUCUCUCACACACUCCUGGUUUGGGACGUCUCUCACACACACACACACACACUCGGGGGCAGGACGUCCCUUCCUUCACAGUGGACCUAGAUACGCCCACACCCUCCUGCCUCAGAGCUGAUUGGUCAAGAGGCUUGUCAUUCCCUCCCACCUCAGUGCUGAUUGGUCUAGAGGCUUGUCAUUCAUGUGACGUUCGACUGAUGACCUUCCCACACCCCCAUGCUGUCUGACAAUGGGGUUCCCUGUGUGUGUGUGUUGUACGUAUGCGAGUGGUCUGAAAUUGAGAGGGAUUAUUAUCUUGUAUAUUGUAUUUAUAGCUAAACUGUUUCUCAUCUAGCUUGUACUCUCCUCCUCCUGUGUGUGUGUGUGUGUGUGUGUGUGUACUCUUUUCCUCCUGAGUUUAUUUUGUGUCCCUUGGCUGACCACGCCCUGCCCCCAGAGGUCAUCUCCAUGGACCCGCUCAGACCUCUGAGAGCACCAUCCGAGUCUUGGGACCCGGCCAAGGCCUUCAUCUGUGUGUGUGUGUGUGUGUGUGUGUGUGUGUGUGUGUGUGUGUGUGUGUGCAGCCAAGGGAGCGGAGGCCAAGGCCUUCAUCUCUGUGUGUGUGUGUGUGUGUGUGUGUGUGCAGCCAAGGGAGCGGGGGCCAAGGCCUUCAUCUCUGUGUGUGUGUGUGUGUGUGUGUGUGUGUGUGUGUGUGUGUGUGCAGCCAAGGGUCCAAGGCAUUCUUAUGUCUGCCCACACAUAGCAUUGUAUGCUAGCUCAUAGCACAUAGCAUCAUGCUAGCUCAGCUAUACAUGUAUUCAUAUUCAUUUUAACUACUGUAGACGUCCUUCAACACUGUGUGUAUAACUGUGAAAAAAUUCCUUCGUGUUCUUUAAUGAUUCUAAGAUCUAGAGAUUUAACAGACGGCCCACUGCCUCACCCCUGGUGUGUGUGUGAGCCGAGGGGUAUUGAUACACACACACACACACACACACACACACACACACACAUAAACACAGCAGCCAUAGUGGCUCUCUGACGCCACCCCCUGGCCAGGCUGGAGAAGGCCGGUGUGCAGGAUGCUGGGGAGGCCGGGGGGGGGUGAUGAUGGAAGAUGAAUCUGCAGUCAUUUGUGAACACUGUGUCAUUUAAUUAACAUCACUCAUGCAUCAGAACACUGUGGAAUAUAGUUAAACAUCACUCUUGCAUCAGGCUGCUCCUGAGUGAGUCUGACCACUGCAAGCGCAACUCACCCCCCUCCCCACACACACACACACUCACACUCCCCUUGUAGUGGGCUGUAGAGGAGGGUGUGCAUGGAGGGGUCGGAUGAUCACGACCUCAGCGCUACUCUGCUCGUGUGCUGUACACACCUCUUGUGUAACCCUCUCUGUUGUUGGAAUAACAAAUCUAACUGUGAAAAGUCCUAACAUUUGUACAAAUUGUAUACCUGUGUACUUAAAAGUCCUGUUGUUUUAACACAUAAGCUGAAGCAGUAAAGCGAUGUCUGUCUGUUAGCAUGGCGUAGGCUUUGUGUUUUCUAUCAGCUGUGAAUAGUAUGGAUACAGAUUCAUUCUAUAUUUCCUUCAAAUAAAGCUAGCACUCUACAA